CAAGGAACAGCCGCGGGUUAGGCGAAAUUAAACACAACACUCCGAUUUCGGUUGUUCGGUCUCAUUUAUCUUACGCGCUUGUGGAAAAUAUCUCAUCGCAUUGCACUAAAUUUAAAAAAAAAAAGAUUCCAUCACAACCUUUUCGUCGGCAACUUUGACCGACGUGAUAAUGCUAGAAGGGUCAAGUGGAUCGGUGAAGAGAGGAAUAUAAAAGCACCACUAACGUUAUGUUCGUAGCGUUACGAAAGCGUUAUCUCGCACGGCAGAAAACUGAUAGAACCGCUACAUCAUACCGUGUCAUGAUGAUUGAAGCGCGCUGGCUUGUAAUCAUUUUUAGUGCAGAAGCGAACUGGUUGGUUAAAUUAAACUUGGCUCAGCCCUCGGCAGGCGCUCGGUGUGCUGUUUCGUUGCGCUAUGAAACCAUCCAGUGCCGUCCGAAUGUGUUUCGCGUGCUAGUGUGUUUCUCAUUAUUUCAUUAUUUGUGUUUUCUUACUUUACCGGAGUGGAAAAAUCUGUCCGUUUCGUGCUUUGCCUGGGCGGACGUGUGGAUUCGGGAUUUUUGACACGGAACAUUUUCUGUAUCAUCACACCCCGACACUACGUGAUUCUUCUACCGCGGAAGGUGGGAUUUCCUCCGCGUGGCCUAUGUCUGCAAACUUUAUCGGUUGGAAAAUUCCUCUAUUUUUCCGUACGUGUGUGUGUGUGUGUGUGCGUAUGUGUGAGUGUAUGAGCGCCAGUAGAGCAGGGUAUGCAACUUGAUUGCGUGCUGAGUGGCACAAUAAACCCCGCCGCUUGGUCAUCGCGUGACCUCUGGGUGCGAGUGAGUGAGGACGGAAAGCCACAACGCGACCGUUCAUGGCGUCCGCGUUGGAAUGCAGACGUUGGCGGGAUGAUAGGCAAGGUGAUAAAAUCAACCCACUGCUGUAUGGUACCAAUCGAUCGACCUUUGUUCCUUAAAUGUUCAUUAUUAGACCAAUCGAAAAUCGAUCGGGAAGGAAAUAUCUGUUACGCAGCAGAAGAUAGGAAACAGGGACAGAUAAAUGGAGGUCAAGAGAGGAAUAGCGUCGUUGUGUUUUGUGAAUGAAUAUUUAAAAGCAAUUUUAAACUGCACACUGCUAAUCAGCCUUCAAGUGUGCCUUAAUAUGCUCAUUUUGGGUUGCCGAUUGCAUACCUUCUGGCGUACAUAUCACGUCCUUAGUAAAAUCGCAUUGGAGUGUUACUUUGAAAUAUUUAUUAUUCACGACACAAAACAGAAAUGCCGCGUCGGAACAAAGGAAUACCAAAGUGGGUAAAAUACCAACCCUCCCCCACUGAACCGCGUCGAUUAGUCAUGGAAGAGGUCAAAUACACUGUAUACAAAUAUUGAUUGUGCACCGAUGCCCGAUAACAUCAUAUGUAUUGCAUUACGAGCAGGCGACAGGAGCGUCCACACAUGCCACACACCGAUUUCACUAACUCAUCAUGCAUACUGUACGAAGUCUCGGUCGUAUACGGCGGAAGGUCUUGCACAACAUCAUCAUCGUCAUCAUCGCCAACACCACCAUUGGCGUUUCUCUACACCCGACCUUGACCGAUCCUUGAACGGAAGAGGUAGCAAAUGGAGCAUCCUGGGGCGCGGGCGUGGCAAAUAACUGGAGCUAUUUUAUGAACGUGUACUCAACCCACACCCCGACCUGUCGGCCGUCCAGUUCUACGCGACAGCAACGGCAACCAAUGGCUUAGUAGGGAAGGUGAAUGAAGCUAGAAGAAUUAAAAUGUGAUUUUCCUUAAGCUACAGUAAGAGCACAUUACUUUAUGAAAUUGUAAAGUUUGUCGGUUUUAUAAAACGAUAAACAGAUAACUAUAAAAUUAUGCAGUUUGAUGUUAUGUAGGAUAAUUUGCCAAUUGUUGUACUCUUAAGGGAACAGCCAACGUAUUUCAUAUGCUUGAGUUGGAUAAAAUUACAAUGUUCUGGUUAUGUGUGUCUAUUAAACAUGAUUAUUGUUUAUUGUUGUGUGUAUAUUUUAUUUAAGGCAGAAAAAUUAUAAAUAAUGCCAAGAAAUACUGUUUUAUAAACCUCUUCAAAAACCCAAUUGUUGCUCACUUACAACGACUUAAAACUCUAUUAUUGCACCCUACAUAGCCAAUUAUUCCACACUUUCCAAAUACCCUGAAAUAUAAAAAAGAGCCCUGGAAUGAAUGUUUUUUUAAUCGAAAAUCAUAUCAUCAUAUUGAGUGUUUAGGACAAUACGCACGUUAAUGGUAAAUAAAAAACAAUCCAACAAAAAAUCACGACAGUCAAAAUGAUAGCACGAUGAAAAGAGUAGGCUUUGGCCUGCACAAUAAAUAGGAUCGAAGUACUCUCUUUGUUCCAAUUAUUUAACAAUGGAUAAAAAAUUUACUAUAUUUGUUUGAUUUCAUUCAAAAUAUACAGUUUAAAUGCUCCAUAUGGUGAAAUAAACCUUAUUUUGUGAUGCACAA